UAACACAUGCAGAUCGAGCGGAAACGACACUAACAAUCCUUCGGGUGCGUUAAUGGGCGUCGAGCGGCGGACGGGUGAGUAAUGCCUAGGAAAUUGCCUUGAUGUGGGGGAUAACCAUUGGAAACGAUGGCUAAUACCGCAUGAUGCCUACGGGCCAAAGAGGGGGACCUUCGGGCCUCUCGCGUCAAGAUAUGCCUAGGUGGGAUUAGCUAGUUGGUGAGGUAAUGGCUCACCAAGGCGACGAUCCCUAGCUGGUCUGAGAGGAUGAUCAGCCACACUGGAACUGAGACACGGUCCAGACUCCUACGGGAGGCAGCAGUGGGGAAUAUUGCACAAUGGGCGAAAGCCUGAUGCAGCCAUGCCGCGUGUAUGAAGAAGGCCUUCGGGUUGUAAAGUACUUUCAGUUGUGAGGAAGGGUGUGUAGUUAAUAGCUGCGCAUCUUGACGUUAGCAACAGAAGAAGCACCGGCUAACUCCGUGCCAGCAGCCGCGGUAAUACGGAGGGUGCGAGCGUUAAUCGGAAUUACUGGGCGUAAAGCGCAUGCAGGUGGUUCAUUAAGUCAGAUGUGAAAGCCCGGGGCUCAACCUCGGAACUGCAUUUGAAACUGGUGAACUAGAGUACUGUAGAGGGGGGUAGAAUUUCAGGUGUAGCGGUGAAAUGC
rnacentral:rRNA from 1 species